rnacentral:rRNA from 1 species
UACGGAGGGUGCAAGCGUUAUCCGGAUUUACUGGGUUUAAAGGGUGCGUAGGCGGACAGGUAAGUCAGUGGUGAAAUCCCCGAGUUCAACUUGGGAACUGCCGUUGAUACUAUCUGUCUUGAAUACCGUGGAGGUGAGCGGAAUAUGUCAUGUAGCGGUGAAAUGCUUAGAUAUGACAUAGAACACCGAUUGCGAAGGCAGCUCACUACGCGGUCAUUGACGCUGAGGCACGAAAGCGUGGGGAGCAAACAGG